AUUGAACGCUGGCGGAAUGCCUUACACAUGCAAGUCGAACGGUAGAGGGGGCAACCCCUCGAGAGUGGCGAACGGGUGAGUAAUAUAUCGGAACGUGCCCAGUCGUGGGGGAUAACGUAGCGAAAGUUACGCUAAUACCGCAUACGAUCUAAGGAUGAAAGCGGGGGAUCGCAAGACCUCGCGCGAUUGGAGCGGCCGAUAUCAGAUUAGGUAGUUGGUGGGGUAAAGGCUCACCAAGCUAACGAUCUGUAGCUGGUCGGAGAGGACGACCAGCCACGCUGGAACGGAGACACGGUCCAGACUCCUACGGGAGGCAGCAGUGGGGAAUUUUUGACAAUGGACGCAAGUCUGAUCCAGCCAUUCCGCGUGCAGGAUGAAGGCCCUCGGGUUGUAAACUGCUUUUGUACGGAACGAAAAGGUCUCUCUUAAUACGGGGGACUCAUGACGGUACCGUAAGAAUAAGCACCGGCUAACUACGUGCCAGCCGCCGCCGUAAGAC
rnacentral:rRNA from 1 species